GCUUGUCUCAAAGAUUAAGCCAUGCAUGUCUAAGUGUAAAUAAGUCUAUACUGUGAAACUGCGAAUGGCUCAUUAAAUCAGUUAUCGUUUAUUUGAUGAUCUCUUACUACUUGGAUAACCGUAGUAAUUCUAGAGCUAAUACAUGCGCCCAAACCCGACUUUGCGGAAGGGUUGUGCUUAUUAGUUACAGAACCAACCCAGGCUCGCCUGGUCUUGUGGUGACUCAUAAUAAUCCAACGAAUCGCAUGGCAUCAGCUGGCGAUGAAUCAUUCAAGUUUCUGACCUAUCAGCUUCCGACGGUAGGGUAUUGGCCUACCGUGGCAAUGACGGGUAACGGAGAAUUAGGGUUCGAUUCCGGAGAGGGAGCCUGAGAAACGGCUACCACAUCUAAGGAAGGCAGCAGG
rnacentral:rRNA from 1 species